GCGGGUAUGGUUGAAUGGUAUAAUUUUUCCUUGCCAAGGAAAAGAUGCGGGUUCGAUUCCCGCUACCCGCC
rnacentral:tRNA from 4 species